rnacentral:rRNA from 1 species
AUUGAACGCUGGCGGCAGGCCUAACACAUGCAAGUCGAACGGGUGGCGGACGGGUGAAUAAUGUCUUGAAAACUGCCCGAUGGACGGGGAUAACUACUGUAAACGGUAGCUAAUACCGCAUCCCCUCGGUUGUGCCCUGAUGGGCUUAGCUAGUAGGUGGGGUACAGGCUCACCUAGGCGACGAGCCCUAGCUGGUCUGAGAGGAUGACCAGCCACACGGGAACUGAGACACGGUCCAGACUCCUACGGGAGGCAGCAGGGGGGAAUAUUGCGCAAUGGGCGCAAGCCUGAUGCAGCCAUGCCGAGUGUAUGAAGAAGGUCUUCGGGUUGUAAAGUACUUUCAGCGAGGAGGCGGUACUCGAAGAAGAAGCACCGGCUAACUCCGUGCCAGCCGCCGCGGUAAUAC